CAACAUUCAUAAAGAACUUUGAAAACAAUUAUAUAAUCUUGUCUUCAAUAAGCAGUUUUCCAUAUAAGAGUAUUAAAACACUUCUGUAGUAUAUUAAUAUUGAAUUUAUAGUUGCUAUAUUCCAAACAUAAUACCUACAUGGCUUUAUAUAGGAAUGGAAUAUUUCAUAAAGUGUGACCCUUUUGCGUUAUAUAGAUGAUAUCUACUCAUACCGAAAAUAAUGUAACGAAAUAAUUGUUAUAUAAACAAUAGAUUUGUAGCUGUUUAUACUUCUAUUAAUAAACAGUUUUUUUUAGUACUACUUUGUACGCUGAUCCCCGAACCAUAAGUAAUUUACGAACGCUUCACUGACAUACCAUUUAAUGCGCAUUCGAUAGCGCUGACUUUCCGAACUCGACGUACACUGCGUGCACUGAUAAGUAUAAUUAUGAGAAUGACUGAGGCCAAAAAUGAUUCUUCCUUGGACUCUAUGCUCUGCUUUUUUGUGGCCUAACCUAACCUAACCAUCGCUCCGCUCUUGUCCUAAUUCAUUCUCUGUUACGGUGGUGAAAAGAUGAGGGCUAAGUGGAGAAAGAAGCGUGUGCGAAGGUUGAAGCGAAAACGUAGGAAGAUGCGUCAAAGGUCCAAAUAGAUGUUUAAAUAUUUCUUGUAAAUAAAAUCACAUGGAGCUACCAACAAGAGGAUAGAUGUUAGAUCAACAGGCAGUUUACAUCUUUUGAAGCUAGUUAUUGUAUAAAUCAAGAAAUAUUCUCGAAAAAAAUGUCGAACUCAAUUCUGUAAACAACCUUUUGCAUCUGAAUAAACCUUCUUGUUUUAUAAA